rnacentral:snRNA from 1 species
GGAUGUGAGGGCGAUCUGGCUGCGACAUCUGUCACCCCAUUGAUCGCCAGGGUUGAUUCGGCUGAUCUGGCUGGCUAGGCGGGUGUCCCCCUCCUCCCUCACCGAUCCAUGUGCGUCCCUCCCGAAGCUGCGCGCUCGGUUGAAGAGGACGACCUUCCCCCCCGAGGAGAGGACCGGUCUUCGGUCAAGGGUAUACGAGUAGCUGCGCUCCCCUGCUAGAACCUCCAAACAAGCUCUCAAGAAGUGCAUUCCAUAAGGAGUUGGACUUAUCCUCAUCACAAUCAACACCACCAUCAUCAUCUCCAUUGUU